GAUGAACGCUGGCGGCGUGCCUAAUACAUGCAAGUCGAGCGAACAGACGAGGAGCUUGCUCCUCUGACGUUAGCGGCGGACGGGUGAGUAACACGUGGAUAACCUACCUAUAAGACUGGGAUAACUUCGGGAAACCGGAGCUAAUACCGGAUAAUAUAUUGAACCGCAUGGUUCAAUAGUGAAAGACGGUUUUGCUGUCACUUAUAGAUGGAUCCGCGCCGCAUUAGCUAGUUGGUAAGGUAACGGCUUACCAAGGCAACGAUGCGUAGCCGACCUGAGAGGGUGAUCGGCCACACUGGAACUUAGACACGGUCCAGACUCCUACGGGAGGCAGCAGUAGGGAAUCUUCCGCAAUGGGCGAAAGCCUGACGGAGCAACGCCGCGUGAGUGAUGAAGGUCUUCGGAUCGUAAAACUCUGUUAUUAGGGAAGAACAAAUGUGUAAGUAACUAUGCACGUCUUGACGGUACCUAAUCAGAAAGCCACGGCUAACUAC
rnacentral:rRNA from 1 species